UACGUAGGUGGCAAGCGUUGUCCGGAAUUAUUGGGCGUAAAGGGCGCGUAGGCGGUCGGAUAAGUCUUGUGUGAAAUCUUCGGGCUCAACUCGAAGUCUGCACAGGAAACUAUCUGGCUUGAGUGUGGGAGAGGUGAGUGGAAUUCCUGGUGUAGCGGUGAAAUGCGUAGAUAUCAGGAGGAACACCUGUGGCGAAAGCGGCUCACUGGACCACAACUGACGCUGAGGCGCGAAAGCUAGGGGAGCAAACAGG
rnacentral:rRNA from 1 species